AUCUCACACCUCGGAUGAGCAAACGAAUGAACUUUGUCUUAUCCUCCAGGAGAAGGGGGAAAAAACCCAAGAAAAUACAAACCAAUCACAACCUGUCAUUAGCCAAGAUUGGAAAUACCAUGACCUCAAACGGACAGAGUUCACCGACAUCAUUAACAACUCAUCCUUCAACCAACAUUCAAUUUCCCAUUAAAAUGAAAAUGAGUCACAAACAAACUGAAUACAAUUGCUCCAGAGAAAAUAAGCUUACUAAAGGUGAAAGGAUGACGACAACAACAACAUGGUUAAUUAAAAACAAAACUGGUUAAAUAAUUUCAAUUAUGAUUCAUUGUCACUUGGAGGGAUUUAGUGGAAACACUAAAGAGAGAACAAUGGCCAGAUGCACUGGAUG